UCCCUGGUGGCUCAGAUGGUAAAGCGUCUGCCUGCAAUGCGGGUGACCCAGGUUCAAUCCCUGGGUUGGGAA
rfam:TPA: Bos taurus chromosome 14, whole genome shotgun sequence.